GUCUAUAGCCAUGCUACCCUGAACAAGCUGGAUCCUGUAUGAUCUUGGAAGCUAAGCAGGGUCGGGCCUGGUUAGUACUAGGAUGGGAGACCACCUAGGAAGACCAGGUGCUGUAGGUG
rnacentral:rRNA from 1 species